GAGCAAUAUAUUUUUCUUGUUAACAAAAUGUAUGGAAAUUUUCACUGUCCAUCCACCAAGCUACUGUUAUGAUCUUUUGCCUACGUUGGUGAGUGGGUGAAAGUCCUCCUUGCGGUGGCAUUAAAAUAAGUCUAACACUAUGUUGACUACCCUGCAAUCAAAGCCUUCCUGUUUUUGUUGUUUUUUUUUGUUUGUUUUUUUCAGCACAGAAUAGAUUAUGUUAAAAAAAAACAAAAACAUUUUAAGUAAUCAAUAAUGGAUUCUAACUGUGGCAGGAACAGACUUGUACGUAUAUUGUUGGAGUCGUUGGGAAAGAGUAAAGAACGUGCGAAAUGUAAACUAUGACAUUACCCUUGCGUGUACUAUAUCUGUAGUUUUUGUUGUAACAUAGUUAGAAGCAUUUUUAAAUCAUCUGAAAUAUAUUUAGCAGUCCUUUAUGACUGCACCUGUUUAUAGUUUUUUUUUUUUUUUUUUUUUUUUUUGUAGUAGUAGAUUGUGUAACUUUUUAAGUGUCUAAAGUGAAUUACAAGCAUGUUCGUUUUGUCUGACGUGUUUAGUUUUUGUUUUGUUUUGUUUUUUCUUGUGAGGAUGUGUUCUCCAAAGCUGGAUUCCUGGGUUGAACAAAUUUUUGUCUAAAACCCCAAAAAUCUCACCCCUUUUUCUGCAUUCUCCUUUCCUGGUACCGUUUGUGUCACUGCUUGCUAGAACUUUGUACAUAUGUAAUCUGUUCUUCGAGGGAAUCCUGAGCUAUAACAGCUGGGCUCAGGGAGGGGGGGAAAAAAAAAAAAAGGUGGUUAUGAGAUAAAGAGCUUUGUAAAAUGUCUUGUAAAAUAAUGUGUAAGCUUGGCAUGCUGAUCUCCUAAUCACGUUCGUCUUUCGUCUUCGUUUUCUUUGUGCACAGCGUGAGACGUGUAAGCCAUCACGGCUAGAUCAGUGAGUACAGUUUGACAUGCAGUGCCUGAGUAAGGUAAGGCCCCUGUAACCGCUGUGCACCCACAGAAGUAUUUGGAUACUGAAGAAGUCCUACAUUUGAAUUUUUAUCGAUAUGAAGUAACGACACUUGUCCUUCCCCUUUAUCUGUUUGGGUUUUUUUUGUUUGUUUGUUUGUUUGUUUUUUUUUAACCUAAAUGAAAGAUUACAUGAUGAAUGAAAGUUAGUGCCAAUAGACUGUCUUCGGUUUGGUUGUAGUUUGUGGCCUGGACAGAUGUGCACAUGGAGUAUGGUUCGGGCCUUAGCUUUUAGAGAUGUCCUCUGUCUCUGUUCUACUUUAAAAAAAAUAAAUACAUUUUGUUAACUGUAUUGUAAUUGCUUUCAUAUAAAUACAAUCUUGUACAUUUGUCAUAAUAAAAU
ensembl:lncRNA